GUCAGUUCGUGGUUUGAAUUGUACCCUUAAGUGGGCUAACGAACGCAACCCUCGUUGUGUGUUACAAGUGUCACACGAGACCGCC
rnacentral:rRNA from 1 species